AUUGAACGCUGGCGGCAUGCCUUACACAUGCAAGUCGAACGGUAACAGGUCUUCGGAUGCUGACGAGUGGCGAACGGGUGAGUAAUACAUCGGAACGUGCCCGAUCGUGGGGGAUAACGAAGCGAAAGCUUUGCUAAUACCGCAUAAGAUCUACGGAUGAAAGCAGGGGACCGCAAGGCCUUGCGCGAACGGAGCGGCCGAUGGCAGAUUAGGUAGUUGGUGGGAUAAAAGCUUACCAAGCCGACGAUCUGUAGCUGGUCUGAGAGGACGACCAGCCACACGGGGCCUGAGACACGGCCCAGACCCCUACGGGAGGCAGCAGUGGGGAAUUUUGGACAAUGGGCGAAAGCCUGAUCCAGCCAUGCCGCGUGCAGGAUGAAGGCCUGCGGGUUGUAAACUGCUUUUGUACGGAACGAAAAGACUCUGGUUAAUACCUGGGGUCCAGGACGGUACCGUAAGAAUAAGCACCGGCUAACUACGU
rnacentral:rRNA from 1 species